rnacentral:rRNA from 1 species
AGAGUUUGAUCCUGGCUCAGGAUGAACGCUAGCGGCAGGCCUAAUACAUGCAAGUCGGACGGGAUCCAUCGGAGAGCUUGCUCGAAGAAGGUGAGAGUGGCGCACGGGUGCGUAACGCGUGAGCAACCUACCUCUAUCAGGGGGAUAGCCUCUCGAAAGAGAGAUUAACACCGCAUAACAUCAACAGUUCGCAUGUUCGGUUGAUUAAAUAUUUAUAGGAUAGAGAUGGGCUCGCGUGACAUUAGCUAGUUGGUAGGGUAACGGCUUACCAAGGCGACGAUGUCUAGGGGCUCUGAGAGGAGAAUCCCCCACACUGGUACUGAGACACGGACCAGACUCCUACGGGAGGCAGCAGUAAGGAAUAUUGGUCAAUGGGCGGAAGCCUGAACCAGCCAUGCCGCGUGCAGGAUGACUGCCCUAUGGGUUGUAAACUGCUUUUGUCCAGGAAUAAACCUAAAUACGUGUAUUUAGCUGAAUGUACUGGAAGAAUAAGGAUCGGCUAACUCCGUGCCAGCAGCCGCGGUAAUACGGAGGAUCCGAGCGUUAUCCGGAUUUAUUGGGUUUAAAGGGUGCGUAGGCGGCCUAUUAAGUCAGGGGUGAAAUACGGUGGCUCAACCAU